CAAAUACUACCCCGUCAAGAAAUACUUGUCGCCAAAAUGAAUAAAAAAGAAUGUAUCUGGACGUAUUUUAGUUUUAGAUACAUUUUUUUUAUCCAUUUCGAUGACAAGUAUUUUCGGACCAAGGAAGUAUAAA
rfam:Triticum aestivum genome assembly, contig: Triticum_aestivum_CS42_TGACv1_scaffold_146519_2BS